GACGAACGCUGGCGGCGUGCUUAACACAUGCAAGUCGAACGGUAAGGCCCUUCGGGGUACACGAGUGGCGAACGGGUGAGUAACACGUGGGUGAUCUGCCCUGCACUUCGGGAUAAGCCUGGGAAACUGGGUCUAAUACCGGAUAGGACCCUGGGAUGCAUGUCCUGGGGAGGAAUGCCUUUGCGGUGUGGGAUGGGCCUGAGGCCUAUCAGCUUGUUGGUGGGGUGAUGGCCUACCAAGGCGACGACGGGUAGCCGGCCUGAGAGGGUGACCGGCCACACUGGGACUGAGAUACGGCCCAGACUCCUACGGGAGGCAGCAGUGGGGAAUAUUGCACAAUGGGCGCGAGCCUGAUGCAGCGACGCCGCGUGAGGGAUGACGGCCUUCGGGUUGUAAACCUCUUUCAGCACAGACGAAGCGCAAGUGACGGUAUGUGCAGAAGAAGGACCGGCCAACUACGUGCCAGCCGCCGCAGUAA
rnacentral:rRNA from 1 species